AUUGAACGCUGGCGGCAGGCCUAACACAUGCAAGUCGAGCGGAUGAAGGGAGCUUGCUCCUGGAUUCAGCGGCGGACGGGUGAGUAAUGCCUAGGAAUCUGCCUGGUAGUGGGGGAUAACGUCCGGAAACGGGCGCUAAUACCGCAUACGUCCUGAGGGAGAAAGUGGGGGAUCUUCGGACCUCACGCUCUCAGAUGAGCCUAGGUCGGAUUAGCUAGUUGGUGGGGUAAAGGCCUACCAAGGCGACGAUCCGUAACUGGUCUGAGAGGAUGAUCAGUCACACUGGAACUGAGACACGGUCCAGGCGCCUACGGGAGGCAGCAGUGGGGAAUAUUGGACAAUGGGCGAAAGCCUGAUCCAGCCAUGCCGCGUGUGUGAAGAAGGUCUUCGGAUUGUAAAGCACUUUAAGUUGGGAGGAAGGGCAGUAAGUUAAUACCUUGCUGUUUUGACGUUACCAACAGAAUAAGCACCGGCUAACUUCGUG
rnacentral:rRNA from 1 species